CCUGUAUUAUUCCACUGGGUUAAUUUUUCCUUCUGCCAUUUCUAACCUGUCCUUUGAGGAAACUGUUAGUGAAAAUCACAGAGGUCUGGAAGAAACUGCUUCUUCUUCAUGACAGAUCCUUUGAUAAUGGCUAGAGCCCUUUUAUCAUUAUCAUCACUGUGGACAUGACAACAGACUGACAGAGAAUUUCAGUCAGUGGCCCAAGCGCCCACCAUUGCUAUAUGUCUGAGCUGGGAUUCAGACACAGGAGGCAUCAGACUCCAGGCUCUUGACCACCAAGUUAUCCCUACUGUCUGCCCUAAGACACACCUAAAACAAAGACAUCUUAUCCUGAAACAAACUGAGGCGAGCCAACCUCCAAACACACUUAGUUCUUACUACAGUGUCAUGUCUUCCCUCCAGAAACCACUGCCUGUUGCCUAAAACACUGGGCCCCCAAACACAACCAACUGCCACCCAUGACUACCUCUCUAAACAAAGUCCUGGCCACUCCCUCACUGAAGCCACUCUAACCUGGCCCUGUUUGCCAAGUCCAGUUUGGGGAGGAGAUCUGCCAGCUGGUUCCACCCAGGCCUCAUUUCUUUCUCGACAAAACACAAUCUCACACCACAGCUUGAACGUUUCCCUCUAGGAGGAGGAAAAUCCUUUUCAAGACAGAAGGCUAAGAAAGACUUGCCCAAUGAAUAUGGGGCACUAGGCAGGCCACCUAGGAAAUAGAGAACCUAUGAGGCUGGUUCUUCCAUCAGCAAGUCCCACCCCCUUCUCUGGACCUCAGCCUUCAGGUGGAGCAAUGCUUUCCUGCCUCCUAGGGCGCUCAUCUUGGGAGAAAUACAUCACCAGGGGAUGAGAAAGGCAUCAGGAGGCUAGAUGCCAUUCCUGACUUCCAUGCAGGAAUUCAGACCAGUCCCUCCCCUGGCCCUCGCCCUGAGUGCACAGAUAUGGGCAGAGGGAGAGGAGCAGCAUAUGGCUUGCCUGCUUCGUCAAAGGGAGGCUUGUCGUCCCUGCCACCUGUGGCAACAACCUGUCAAGGGAACAACUACUAAGGAAAGAGCCCUGGGUCCUGGAAGGCUCCUGGAAAGUAUCAUCACCCCUGUUGAAGGAGGAAGUUGCUGGGAAACUGGUGUGCCCCACCAGGGAGUUAGUGCCCUGCACGGCCAGGUCCUCCACUGCCAUGCCCAGGUACCCCAGGGAGGGUGGUGGUGGUGGGAGGCGGGGAGUUUUGGGAGAGAAAUGUGAACGGGUGAGGAGGGGGCUUCCACAAGUAUCCUAGAAGGCACUGGGAGAGUCGAGAACACCUAGGCGUGUGACACCAGGACAGGGGCCUCCUCUGCCACGUCUAAGGGAGGUACCGGUCUCAGAAUCAACGGGUUUUGGGUGGACAACACCUCCUCAAGCGGGACUCGGGGAUCUUGGCUGUCCACUGCCCCUCCCAGGACUUUACCCUUCCCUCCCAAUCUGACCUGAUUCCUCCCACAUACGCCAGUCCGGAUUCAAGGCCACAGAGGUGCCUGGCGGGUCUGCAACUCACCACCAAGUCAGGCCAACCACCGAGGCAGUGGCGGAGGAGACAGUGGCCAUGGAGGGGCGGUGGCAGUGGAGGACUGGGAUUUCCGGGACCUGAAGAGAGGAAGGUGCACCCCCAUCUCCCAUCCAUCUGCAUCUCCCUGCCUUCAGGGAGUCCAGCUUCCGGGAGAGGAAGCCGGUCCUCCAACUGCGCAUGUGUAGGCGACCAUUGUCUCUGGCCUCACAAUGACCCCCACGGUUGCUAAGCAAUGGGUCCACGGGGCUCUGAGGGUAAGGGUGAACCCUCUGGCAGUGGAUAUGUGCAGGUGCACAUGCAGGUGCAUGCUGUGGCCUGCAUCCUUCCAUGGGUCCUGCAGAUGUGCCUGACCCGGCCAUGGCUUCAGACCGGUGGUUGGAAGAAGCCCCUCUCCAUCCUGAGAGACAGUUUUCCAAACACAAGAAACCAGAAAACCUUAUCAGGAACUCAUUUUUAGACUUAUCUUUGAUUAUGGAAAAUGCUUUUUAAAAAAUCUCAAAUGAAGUAAUUUUAAAGGAUACACAUAUUCUUACAUUUGUGUAAAUAUUUUAAACACAAUAUUACAUUUUUUAAAGAGAUAGAUGCCUAAUACUGCAGAAUCAUGCGUGGUAAUGAUAUACACCAACUUUAACAUGAGUACCACAUAAGAGGGAGAUGGAGGAAUGUGUAAGGAUGAGACGUUAACCUGUGAAGCUUUAAGUUAAUGCAAUGAGAGAUCUACAGCCAAUAUGUAAACUUAUUGUCAUCAGUUGAAUCUGAAUACUGGCUACAUAAUGAUUGUAAGAUUUUGGAAUUCUCUUUACAUUUUAAAACUCAUAAUUAAAAAGAAAUAAGUAUAUCUUCAGUUUUACACAUUAUAGCUUGAAUUAAAUAUGCCACGUAGACAUCUCAAUGGAAGCAGAAGAAAUUAUUUUAUAAAAUAAAACGCAAAUUAGAAAUUAAAAAUUCUGGGUAAAUAAGUGGAGAAUUAUAUUUUAGCACUGGAGACUGAGGGCUAAGGGGAAGAAAGAGGUUUUGUCAUGGAAGCCAAGUUACACAGGGAUAUAACAGAAAGGAAAUGAUAAGUAUAUUAAAUUUGCUGUGGUCCAUUGAAAUAAGGACCAAAAAUUGCCUAUAUAAACUAGUGACAUGGAUGAAGAUGAGGUAUAAUGGAGAAAUUCAGAGGCAAGUGAGUAAGAGUUUUUGAAGAAAAAGCUGAAGAUUUAUCUUAUAUCAGAGGCAUUUGGUUCAAAAUUUAAAAGAUAUAAAAAUGUUUUCAGUCAAACGUAUAACUGUUUCCUUCCCCUUUCCCCAGCCAUCUAUUUCUUUUCCCCAGAGACCAGCACUAUUACUAGAUUCUUACAUAUCCAUUUAAAGAUAUUAUACUGAUUAUCAGAAAUCAUAUGUGUAUUUCCAUACAUAUGACAGCCUAUAAAUACUGCUGUACCCCUUGCUUUUUUAUUUUGAAACAUCCAUUCAAAAAUGUUUUUUUCCCACUAAAUAUAGUUAAUUAUUUUUUCAGUGUAAACAUGUGAAACUAUUUGAGUAGUUUAAAAAUACACUUAAGUAAAGAAUUAGAGUUGGUGGAUGGAAAAACUGACACCUUAUUUACCUGCUCCCAUAUUUCUGGAGCUAACUUGAUGCUUGUGUUUUUUUAAGUGCUCAGAAUUCCAUUAAUUUCAGUUUUUUCUUAAACUAUCUCAUGUCUGUUUUUCUUUCUUGCAACUUUGGUUCAUACCGGACUCACUAAGGAGCAUUUAAUUCCCACAAAUACUAUUUGUAUUUCAUAAAUGACAUAAACGUAAAGCACAAAGAGGAAGUGAGUUUUAAUGAAAGAAAUGAGAUAUUUAUUAAUAAUUGGUUAAGGCAACACACAAUCAUCAUCAUGCACCAUUCAGAGAGAGUGUGAAUCAUUUGUCAGUGCUUACAUAAUCGAAAUAGAAAGAAAUUGGUCAGUUUAGGCUAAGUUAUGCUGUAUUAAGAAGGAAUCCUAAAUCUCAGUGAUACAUAACAUAUAUUUAUUUCUUGCUCUUGCUGUAUAUCCAACAUUUCUAGGUUUAAAUCUUUUCUGUGUUGGUCUUCAUCUUGGUAUCCAGGCUGAACGAGUAAUCUCUAUUUGGGAUACUGGAACAACAUUUUAGCAGAGGAAAAGAAGAGACAAUAAUCCUAUACAAUGGAACACAAAACUAAUACUUUUGCAGGUCCUUCUAGUUGUGGGAUGUGGGACGCCGCCUCAACGUGGCCUGACGAGCAGUGCCAUGUCCGCGCCCAGGAUCCAAACCCUGGGCCGCCGCAGCGGAGCGCGCGAACUUAACCACUUGGCCACGGAGCCGGCCCCGCAAUAACAUCUUUUAUGCAGAAAUCCUGUUUUACAUUAUUCAUUAGAUCCAUGAUGUAGCUUUUUCUCUUCCAAAUUUUCGUGUAAACCGACGUCCAGAAGAAGCGUCCUUAUUUUUACCAUUUUACACUCGAAGAAACGAGGACCAGAGGCCAUGACUUGCUGUCACCCACAUUCACAUAGUGAUCGCGCACUCUCUCACUCUCAUACAAUCACACCCUUCAAGCAGCUUUUCACUCAAAACACCCAGUCACUCUCGCAGUCACACUCAGGGUCACACAGCCGGAAUGCAUCUAUGCACAUCCCCAGCCUCCUCCCAGAAUGCGGGUGCGUCUCCCAAAGCCACCAGGCCAGCCCGCGUCUAAAACUCCCAGGCCUCAUCUUCCCCACUGCACACCGCUUGAAAUCGAUAGCCAGACAGCCCUACACAAAAGCAUAAAUUGUAACUGAUGCGUCUGCUCACUCUGAGGACGAUCGAGGGCUCCCAAAAUCUCCAGGCGCGGCCUGGGCGACUACUGGUUAGGUCAGGUUGGGCAUCAAGAUGAUUGGCUACAAACUCUCUCCGUUCAGUUCCGCCAUGUUUGGGGGCCAUAGUCUGGACUACAUUUCCCAGAAGGCCGUGCUGCCUUAAUUUUCCGCGAGAACUUCAAUGUCCGUGGGACUAUGCUCUUCUGAACGUGAAUAAGCAGUCUCGGAGGAAGAUAACAGAGAUAUGAUGAAUUUUCUGGAAUAGAGAUCUCUCAUAGAACCUGGGCUAGGGUUUCGGGAAAACUCCAAGGCAUUUCACUUCAGGCUGGGAUGGAGUUUUUUGGUCCAGGAUCAGUCUUGUGGCAAAGAGGGACUCGACGACCCAGCUGGACUACAUUUCCCGGAGGCCUUCGCUGCCCGCGUGCUUUCCACCGGAACUCAGCCAGCUCCUGGCCAGAGGACCGUUCGGUGGAGCUCCUCGAGGCCUGAUGCUCAGGGCCACGUGGUCCAGGGCUGCCCGACGUGUGGAGUCCCAGUGCCGGAGCGGUCCAGACCGAGGUCUGCAGCCAGGCAGUGGAAAGAUCGUGUGUGUCUAAUAAGACUUUUAAAUCCGCCUGGGACGUCUGUCUCUUUUAACUGCAGCAUUUAAUCCAUUUACAUUUAAUGUAGUACCAGUAGAUUUAGAUGUGAAUAUGCUGUUUUAUUUUUUACUUUGUGUUUCAUGUUUCCUUUUUCUCUCCUUUUUUUAUGUUGGAUUGAUUUGUUUUUAUUAUUCCAAUUUUUCCCUUAUUCGUUUGUAAAUUCUUUUAGAUAUUACAACAGGAAUUCUUGCCAUACUUAUCAAAGUACAAGGUCAUCAGUAUGCUUACUCUCCUCUCAGAUAAUGCAUUUAAUUUCAUUUACCCCCUUAACUCAGGUUUAAACUAUGAGAUAUCAAUUACUAUGUAUCUGUUUUAUUGAAACAUAGAUAUGUACAAUUACUCAACUUUAUGUACAAUUUUACUCAAAUUAUGUACAAUUAAACAGUACAACUGCUGUUUUGUUUGUCAGUGUUCAUUUACAUUUACUCAAAACAUUGUCUGACACAGUGGUCAAACAAGUAGAAAAGUUAGGUCUUGUGAAAGAGUAACAAAGGAGGACACUAGUUACAGGCAGUAAAGAAAGGUUCUGUUCAGUAAAAACUACUGUAGUAGAGAAGAGAGUUCAGUGUAAACUGAGCUCAAUUUUCCUGAAACAAAAGGCAGAAGACUUUUUAAAUGCUGGCAUGUGCUAAAGAAAAGACAGUAAGGGUGUUGGGGGGAGGGAGGGUUGGUCCAUGUGACAGAGCCAUCUGGGUUUGCUAAUUUGUGCUUAUCCAGAGGAGAAACAAACGUCUCGUGUCUUUAUGACAGGAGGUGUGUGUGCAAGUUGGAGCAAGGUGCCCACGGAAGUUAGGCCAUUACCCUCCCACACAGACCAGGCGACAGAGCGGGAGCUGUUUCCUCAAAUAGCUUGAAUUCAAAAAGAUGGCUCCCAGGUCCUUGAGGAGAUGGUGAUGGUAGAAAAUCUACAUCUUAAGGGACAGAGAAAGCAUUUAUAAUUACACACUUUCUAAAAUAACUUCUCUGAGAGAGACCUAUCAGCCUAUUAUCAGGUUUUGGCUUGAACAAUAAAUUCUCAGGGAAGUGUUGAGCCUUUUGAGGCAGGCAUUGUAAGGGAGCAUGAGAGACACUGCCUGAAGCUCCUAGAAGCCAUGCCAGAAUUGGUCAAGUCUCUUAGUGUGAGGAUAUGUACAGAAUCGUUUGUGCCAAGAGAUUUUGCAGUUCUAGAUCUUCCUAUCAUAAGAUAAAAUAUGUUGUCUUGAUAAGGAAAAAUGUUUACAACAUUAGCUAAUACAGUGUUU
rnacentral:lncRNA from 1 species